rnacentral:misc_RNA from 1 species
GAUGAAGAACGUAGCGAAAUGCGAUAAGUAGUGUGAAUUGCAGAAUUCCGUGAAUCAUCGAAUCUUUGAACGCACAUUGCGCCUUCUGGUAUUCCGGAAGGCAUGCCUGUUCGAGAGUCAUUAACAACCGUUUCGAUCCCUUUCUUUCAGAAAUUACAAAGAGGAAAAGGGUAUGGUUAUGGUGGAGGAGGGAAAGGGAGCGUUUAGCCUGUAAAAAAAGAGGCUGUGUUCCGCCUCCCCCCCAAAAUUGUACAGGCGGUCGUGUGCGCCCACGCAUCGAGGUGUUGUAAAAGCUGCCACGGCACUUUUCACCUGUGCAGUGCGAGAUUGGCCAGCCGGUUUAAAAACCCCUCCAAACAAUCAAAGGUUGACCUCGGAUCAGGUAGGGAUACCCGCUGAACUUAAGCAUAUCAAUAAGCGGAGGA